rnacentral:rRNA from 1 species
AUGAACGCUGGCGGCGUGCCUAAUACAUGCAAGUCGAGCGAACAGAUGAGGAGCUUGCUCCUCUGACGUUAGCGGCGGACGGGUGAGUAACACGUGGAUAACCUACCUAUAAGACUGGGAUAACUUCGGGAAACCGGAGCUAAUACCGGAUAAUAUAUUGAACCGCAUGGUUCAAUAGUGAAAGACGGUUUUGCUGUCACUUAUAGAUGGAUCCGCGCCGCAUUAGCUAGUUGGUAAGGUAACGGCUUACCAAGGCAACGAUGCGUAGCCGACCUGAGAGGGUGAUCGGCCACACUGGAACUGAGACACGGUCCAGACUCCUACGGGAGGCAGCGGUAGGGAAUCUUCCGCAAUGGGCGAAAGCCUGACGGAGCAACGCCGCGUGAGUGAUGAAGGUCUUCGGAUCGUAAAACUCUGUUAUUAGGGAAGAACAAAUGUGUAAGUAACUAUGCACGUCUUGACGGUACCUAAUCAGAAAGCCACGGCUAACUACGUG